rnacentral:rRNA from 1 species
UAGGGAAUCUUCCACAAUGGGCGCAAGCCUGAUGGAGCAACACCGCGUGAGUGAAGAAGGGUUUCGGCUCGUAAAGCUCUGUUGUUAAAGAAGAACACGUAUGAGAGUAACUGUCCAUACGUUGACGGUAUUUAACCAGAAAGUCACGGCUAACUACGUGCCGG